UGCCUCAGUAACGGCGAGUGAAGCGGCAACAGCUCAAAUUUGAAAUCUGGCCCCAGGCCCGAGUUGUAAUUUGCAGAGGAUGCUUUUGGUGCGGUGCCUUCCAAGUUCCCUAGAACGGGACGCCAGAGAGGGUGAGAGCCCCGUACAGUUGGACACCAAGCCUUUGUAAAGCUCCUUCGACGAGUCGAGUAGUUUGGGAAUGCUGCUCAAAAUGGGAGGUAUAUUUCUUCUAAAGCUAAAUACCGGCCAGAGACCGAUAGCGCACAAGUAGAGUGAUCGAAAGAUGAAAAGCACUUUGAAAAGAGGGUUAAACAGCACGUGAAAUUGUUAAAAGGGAAGCGCUUGUGACCAGACUUGCGUCCGGUGAAUCACCCAGCUCUCGCGGCUGGGGCACUUCGCCGGCUCAGGCCAGCAUCAGCUCGCUGUCGGGGACAAAAGCUUCAGGAACGUAGCUCUCUUCGGGGAGUGUUAUAGCCUGUUGCACAAUACCCUUCGGCGGGCUGAGGUACGCGCUCCGCAAGGAUGCUGGCAUAAUGGUCAUCAGCGACCCGUCUUGAAACACGGACCAAGGAGUCAACCUUAUGUGCGAGUGUUCGGGUGUCAAACCCCUACGCGUAAUGAAAGUGAACGCAGGUGAGAGCUUCGGCGCAUCAUCGACCGAUCCUGAUGUUCUCGGAUGGAUUUGAGUAAGAGCAUAUAGGGUUGGACCCGAAAGAAGGUGAACUAUGCGUGUAUAGGGUGAAGCCAGAGGAAACUCUGGUGGAGGCUCGCAGCGGUUCUGACGUGCAAAUCGAUCGUCAAAUAUGCGCA
rnacentral:rRNA from 1 species